CACGCUCUCAGUCCAGGGGUUCUCCAUUCAUUUUUUACAUGAAUAUUUAAUUCUCGCUACCCUACUGCCAGCGCAACAGCCUGCAGCCCUGAGCAGACAUGGACACACUCCCCAUCUGCUGUAGGCCCUGAGACGGGGGUGGCGCUGGAGGACCGCGGAAGGUGUUGGGAGAAUAUCAAAGAUGCUCCUGGCUGGGAGAGGGCUUCUGAAGGGCAAAUGUAAAGCCCAGUGAGCUGCUGUCAGCCUUGCUGCAGGGGGAGAUGUUGAAGAACGCCAGAGCAGAGGCGUCCCACUCCUCGUCUCAUUGUUCCUGUCACUCCACUCUCGGUCCCUGAGCAACCCUUCUCCCUAAGCAGCCCACCGUCCCAUUAAAGUAGACAACCUUGUCUCACAUGGCAG
ensembl:lncRNA